AACUUUGCUUAUUAGAAACUGUAAUGGCCAACAACAACAAUACGUCAACAAUUAAAAAAUUGUAAUGGCCGACUUCAGCAACAAUAUGUCAACAAUUACAAAAUUGUAAUGGCCGACUUCAGCAACAAUACGUCAACAAUUAAAAAAUUGUAAUGGUCGACUUCAGCAACAAUACGUCAACAAUUAAAACAACAAAAUAAUCAUGCAAGAAACAGCGACUCUCAGAACCAUUUUUGGCUCAGCAUCAAUUGACGUUGACUCAAUUUUGUGUCCCUAUUUCACAGAAACAUGCUUCACAACAGGAAUGAUUUUAUGAAUAUCUUCAAUACUUUUUCGAAACUUCAAUCAGCUCUCAAACUUUUUAAGUAUACUGGAAGUGCUUUUACAUGAAACAACAAAAUAUUCAUGUAAGAAACAGCGACUCAGAACCAUUUUUGGCGCAGUAUCAAUUGACGUUGACUCAAUUUUGUGUCCCUACUUCAGAGAAACAUUCUUUGCAUCAGGAAUGAUUUUACGAACAUCUUCAAUACUUUUUCGAAACUUUAAUCAGCUCCCAAACUUUUUAAGUAUACUGGAAGUGUUUUUCAUGAAACAACAAAACAAUCAUGUAACAUUACAAAAUUACAGCUUAUCUGCCUUCAGGAGUAACAUAUAUCUAUAAAAAUAGGAGUUAACAUCCUACGAAAAUCUGCUGUAGAGUACUUGAUUACGUGUAGUAUGACCCACAAAUACUACUGAUGGAACUAACAAGGGUCCAGGCUUUUCAUGGAUGUAGAAGCAUUUCAUAAUUUAGGUGCUCAACGUUUUAAUCUCAAAAUAUAAGUGGAAAGUGUUUUAGUAGAUUUGCGUUUAAAUACCAUUUUGCAAAACCCUUCAAACUAAAUCACGUUUAACUGUAUGGUACUUCCUUUAAACAUUGUUAAUAUUCAUGAAUUACAUUUUGGAAGGCUUUUGUGACGUUUGGAAACAUUAUUUAAACCAAUUGUCUAAACAUAUUUUAAGUAAUUGUAAUUUAACUAUUGUUAUCGGAUCUCAAUAAAUAUAUUUUAAUAUAUAACAUAAACAUCAAAUUGCAAUGUAAUAGAUUUUAUGAAUGCGGGAAAAUAAUAGAUAACUGGCUUCUUUUCCUGCCUUCAUAAAAUAUAUUGGGUUGCAUUUAAUUGCACAUAGGAGAUGAAAAAUAAAACAAGCUAAUCUUUAAAAUUGACGGGUUAGCAUCUGUACAUCA